AACGAACGCUGGCGGCGCGCCUAAUACAUGCAAGUCGAGCGAGAAGACGUAGCAAUACGUUUGUAAAGCGGCGAACGGGUGAGGAAUACAUGGGUAACCUACCCUCGAGUGGGGAAUAACUAGCCGAAAGGUUAGCUAAUACCGCGUACGCUCCUUGGACUUCGGUUCAGGGAGGAAAGCGAUACCGUGGGUAUCGCGCUCUUGGAUGGGCUCAUGUCCUAUCAGCUUGUUGGUGAGGUAACGGCUCACCAAGGCUUCGACGGGUAGCUGGUCUGAGAGGACGAUCAGCCACACUGGCACUGCGACACGGGCCAGACUCCUACGGGAGGCAGCAGUGAGGAAUAUUGCGCAAUGGGCGAAAGCCUGACGCAGCGACGCCGCGUGGGGGAUGAAGGUCUUCGGAUUGUAAACCCCUUUCGGGAGGGAAGAUGGGACGGGCGAACCGUUCGGACGGUACCUCCAGAAGCAGCCACGGCUAACUUCGUGCCAGCAGCCGCCGU
rnacentral:rRNA from 1 species